UGUAUAUGGCAGGGGUGUUAGGAAAGAUUUGAUCUGAACUCCUCAUUGUGCCGAUAAAGAAACUAAGGAAGAUUUUCCCAGGUCCAAAAGCCUGUUUUCCCUUCAUUUCAACGCAACGGGAACAAAUGAGAGUGUGGUAAUGGAGCCAGAAGGGGGCGCAUGAUGAUCGCUGAUGACGAAUUUUGACGGUGCAAUCUGGAUGUUAAUUUCGCUGACCUUGAAGUCAGGGUGGCCUACUUGCAGCAUUGUUCUAUAUAACUUCAGCCUCAAAUUGAAAACCAUACAUAUUUCGUGGAAGAGAACAGUCAGGCCAUGACUCACCCAGGACGACGGUCAGCGUGAUGGUGAAGAGGGACGGUAAGAAGAACCCCUAUCCAGGAGUGGGGAAUAAAACAACUAGGAUGAUUUGGAAAUGGAGAAAACUCCAUGGAGGCUGCUCCAGGAGACCUCAGCUGUCUGAAGGCCA
rnacentral:lncRNA from 1 species